rnacentral:misc_RNA from 1 species
GAUGAAGAACGUAGCGAAAUGCGAUAAGUAAUGUGAAUUGCAGAAUUCAGUGAAUCAUCGAAUCUUUGAACGCACCUUGCGCCCUUUGGCUAUUCCGAAGGGCAUGCCUGUUUGAGUAUCAUGAACAUCUCAACUCCUCGCGGUUUGCCCGUGACGAGCUUGGACCUUGGGGGUCUUGCCGGCCUGCGGGUCGGCUCCUCUCAAAUGAAUCGGCUUGCCGGUGUUUGGUGGCGUCACAGGUGUGAUAACUAUCUACGCUUGUGGUUUUCCGCCAGGUAACCUCCAGCGAUGGGGGUUCACUGGAGCUCACAAAUGUCUCUCCUCGGCGAGGACGGCUUUUUGAACGUUUGAUCUCAAAUCAGGUAGGACUACCCGCUGAACUUAAGCAUAUCAAUAACGGAGGA